rnacentral:rRNA from 1 species
GAUGAACGCUGGCGGCGUGCCUAAUACAUGCAAGUCGAGCGAACGGACGAGAAGCUUGCUUCUCUGAUGUUAGCGGCGGACGGGUGAGUAACACGUGGAUAACCUACCUAUAAGACUGGGAUAACUUCGGGAAACCGGAGCUAAUACCGGAUAAUAUUUUGAACCGCAUGGUUCAAAAGUGAAAGACGGUCUUGCUGUCACUUAUAGAUGGAUCCGCGCUGCAUUAGCUAGUUGGUAAGGUAACGGCUUACCAAGGCAACGAUGCAUAGCCGACCUGAGAGGGUGGUCGGCCACACUGGAACGGAAACACGGUCCAGACUCCUACGGGAGGCAGCGGUAGGGAGUCGGCCGCAAUGGGCGAAAGCCUGACGGAGCAACGCCGCGUGAGUUAUGAAGGUCUUCGGAUCGUAAAACUCUGUUAUGAGGGAGGAACAUAUGUGUAAGUACCUGUGCACAUCUUGACGGUACCUAAGCAGAAAGCCACGGCUAACUACGUG